GUACUACUCCCUCCGUCCCAAAAUUCUUGUCUUAGGUUUGUCUAAAUAUGGAUGUAUCUAGUUACAUUUUAGUGUUAAAUACAUCUGUAUCUAGACAAAUUUAAGACAAGAAUUUCGGGACGAAGGGAGUAGUUU
rnacentral:pre_miRNA from 1 species